AGCGAAGUAGAGUAAUCUGGUAACUCACAAGGCUCAUAAUCUUGAGACAUGGGUUCAAAUCCCAUCUUCGC
rnacentral:tRNA from 1 species